GAGAAAACCGGGCACGGCCGUAGUCUGCUCAUCUGGAAGGAAUGGGAACAGAAGCCGACUUUUAACUAUUAGUUUACACAGCAGCACUGUGAGCAGCCUCCUGCGUGUCGAGCCGUGCUGGGAGCCGCUCCUGAGCACUAAUUGGGGUUUGUUAGCCCUUCUGUUUGCAUGAUCUCACUCAAGUGGAGACCAGGAGGCGGCCUCGCGGGACUGCUCGGCUCUUUGAUUCCAUCUGCAAGUCAGCAAGAUGUUGCAGGCAGCUCCACGCGUUUCCUGGCCCUUCCUUCCUCCCAGCGCAGUGAAGCUGGGUUCCGAAGCCAGCAGUUCUGCUGCAGUGCAGUGCGAUCUGCCGGACAACGGGAGCGCAGCCGUGCAGGAAGGGCAGUGCAGGGCCACGUCCCCAUGGGCCGGGGGCACUGCUGCUGUGUGGUCACAGGGAGGCUUGUUUUGCUGCUUAUUUGCAACACGUUCGACUGUAUACUUGCCAGAAUUGUGAAACUCUUGUAAAACCCCUUCAGGAACCCACCCGCGGCAGAAUGAGGGCAGAACAGCCAACAGGGAGCUCAGCAGCCAGACUGGAGGAGGAAGGAGGUCUUGUGAGGUGAAUCCCUGUGUGAUGGGGAAGGGUCCCAAUGCUGCGCAGUGCAGCUGUGCUGCUCCUCCUGCAUCCUCAGCAGUGCCUGCAGGAGGAGGAAGAGGAGGAAGAGGAGGAGGAGGAGGAGGAGGAAGAGGAGGAGGAGGGUGGCUGAGGCCGGUGUGGAGAACAGCCCUGCCCUGCAGUAUGGAUGUGCUCCGGGAACCAAAGCCUCAUUUCCUCUCCACGAAGCUUGGAUUCCUCUUUAUGAAGUCCUUGGGUUUCAAGUGAAAGAUUUUAAUUGGAAGUUGUAUCACGUUACUUUGCAAAGCCAUUAUUGCUUUUUUUUUUUUUUCAAUUGCAAAUAUUCUUCCUAUAGCCCCUGGAAAAUACAAUAUUCCUGUGAACGUUUUGAAAAGCAUCUCAAAGCAAAUUUUGAUUAAGGCUCUGAGGACUGAAGCGUGAGGAGAGCGCUGGUACGGGCGGGCUCCCCAGACCCAUUUGUUCUUAUGAAAAACACGAACGUGCUCAUUUCCACCCAUUGCCCUCUGGGGCACAGACGUCUCCUCGGGGAAGGGCACUGCCUGGUGCUGACAGACAGACAGGGACUGAAUCCCCUCCUCGUGGUGCCCCAUCUCACAGCUCGUGAUGCUUCUGGCAGCCCCAGUCCCACGGCAGUCCCCUCCAGGAUGGAAGCCCAGCAGUUCUGGAGCCUCAGCCCGAAUGCAGCGCCGUGUUCCUGCAGCUGCUGCUUGCCUGGCUCUGCUCCCCAUUCAGUUCUCGAGGUUGCAGUGGCAUUGAUUGAAUGGGAGAUUCAUGGUGGGAAAUUAAGCCUCCAGAAGAUACAAUAAUUUAAAUAAUUGGCAUUUUUUUUGUGUGUGUGAGAACAUGAGAAAUACAGAGUGUUCAUUCACCGUAAAUUCCUCCAGGACCAGGGUAGCAGAAGCAGAUGAAUUCUUAUGAAACAAAGAUUCUAUUUUCAUGCAAAUAUCUCUCAGUAAUAAAAUACCAAGGGAAUAAAAAUGACAGGAAAAUGUA